rnacentral:rRNA from 1 species
UCCUACGGGAGGCAGCAGUGGGGAAUAUUGCACAACGGGGGAAACCCUGAUGCAGCGACGCCGCGUGAGUGAAGAAGUAUUUCGGUACGUAAAGCUCUAUCAGCAGGGAAGAAAAAAAGUCCUUUGGACUUUGGACGGUACCUGACCAAGAAGCCCCGGCUAACUACGUGCCAGCAGCCGCGGUAAUACGUAGGGGGCAAGCGUUAUCCGGAUUUACUGGGUGUAAAGGGAGCGUAGACGGCAGCGCAAGUCUGGAGUGAAAGGCGGGGGCUCACCCCCCGGACUGCUC